rnacentral:rRNA from 1 species
AUUGAACGCUGGCGGCAGGCCUAACACAUGCAAGUCGAACGCGUGGCGGACGGGUGAGUAAUGUAUGGGAAACUGCAUGAUGGAGGGGGAUAACUUCUGGAAACGGUAGCUAAUACCGCAUACCAACGGAUGUGCCUAGAUGGGAUUAGCUAGUAGGGGGGGUAAAGGCUCACCUAGGAGACGAUCUCUAGCUGGUCGGAGAGGAUGACCAGCCACACUGGAACGGAGACACGGUCCAGACUCCUACGGGAGGCAGCAGUGGGGAAGAUUGCACAAUGGGCGCAAGCCUGAUGCAGCCAUGCCGCGUGUAUGAAGAAGGCCUUCGGGUUGUAAAGUACUUUCAGCGGGGAGGCGUUACCCGCAGAAGAAGCACCGGCUAACGCCGUGCCAGCAGCCGCGGUAAUUC